rnacentral:rRNA from 1 species
ACUCAAAUGAAUUGACGGGGGCCCGCACAAGCGGUGGAGCAUGUGGUUUAAUUCGACGCAACGCGAAGAACCUUACCUGGGCUCGAAAUGUAGUGGAAUCCGGCAGAAACGUCGGCGUCUAGCAAUAGACCGCUAUAUAGGUGCUGCAUGGCUGUCGUCAGCUCGUGUCGUGAGAUGUUGGGUUAAGUCCCGCAACGAGCGCAACCCUUAUCUUCAGUUGCUACCAUUUAGUUGAGCACUCUGACGAAACCGCCUCGGAUAACGGGGAGGAAGGUGGGGAUGACGUCAAGUCCUCAUGGCCUUUAUGUCCAGGGCUACACACGUGCUACAAUGGCCGGUACAAACCGCUGCAAACCCGCGAGGGGGAGCUAAUCGGAAAAAGCCGGCCUCAGUUCGGAUUGGAGUCUGCAACUCGACUCCAUGAAGCUGGAAUCGCUAGUAAUCGUGGAUCAGCAUGCCACGGUGAAUACGUUCCCGGGCCUUGUACACACCGCCCGU